GACGUAGGGCGCGAGCGUUGUCCGGAUUUAUUGGGCGUAAAGAGCUCGUAGGCGGUCUGUCGCGUCUGUUGUGAAAACUCGAGGCUCAACCUCGGGCUUGCAGUGGAUACGGGCAGACUAGAGUGCGGUAGGGGAGACUGGAAUUCCUGGUGUAGCGGUGGAAUGCGCAGAUAUCAGGAGGAACACCGAUGGCGAAGGCAGGUCUCUGGGCCGCAACUGACGCUGAGGAGCGAAAGCAUGGGGAGCGAACAGG
rnacentral:rRNA from 1 species